GUAGGGAUGAAUCUCAGACUUGCUGUGUUCGGAAUUAUCUUCCUCAUCCCAUGACACAGACUUUUUUACUGAGUCAACCUAAUCUUUCCUGGAUCAUUCCUCUCUCGGGACCAGUCCUCUUCCAGAAAAUUUCUCAGUCUUUAUGCAGACAAGAUUCUGGGGGCUGACACUGCUUUUUUUGCCAGAUGUCCCUAGACACAUCUGAAUCUCUUUUAGUCUCAAGCUGGAGCCUUUUUCACCAUUGCACAAAAAGCUGGGUAUAGUUCAAAUUCCUGACUGUAUAUUCUGAUUCCCCUGGGCAUUUACACUCUGCCAUCCCACACAGUUCCCCCUCCUGUGUGAGGGUCCUAUUGCAAUUCAUUAGCGUGCUUUUUUUUUUUUUUUUUUUUUUUUUUUUGCUUUUUGUUUUGGAGACGGAGUCUUGCUCUGUCCCUCAGGCUGGAGUGCAGCGGCGCCAUCUCAGCUGAAUGCAACCUCUGCCUCCUGGGUUCAAGAGAUUCUCCUGCCUCAGCCUCCCAAGUAGCUGGGAUUACAGGUGCGUGCCACCACGCCUGGCUAAUUUUUUGUAUUUUUAGUAGAGACAGGGUUUCACCGUGUUAGCCAGGAUGACCUUGAUCUUCUGACCUCGUGAUCCUCCCACCUCAGCCUCCCAAAGUGCUGGGAUUACAGGCGUGAGCCACAGCGCCCGGCCUUCAGCGUGCUUUUUUUUUUAAUGGUUUGCUAUAUUUACAUCUGGUUUCUCCUUCUGAAUGGGUCCUGCAUCUGGGGUGCAAGUGAGGCACACGCAGAUGAGACUCCACCUGCCCUGGGCAGCUUUCCUGAGCCUUGAGAAACCAGCUCACCAUGAAUCCAAGGUGUCUGCUGUUCCUUGCCACCAUUUCAUGGAACCUGUUGUAUGUAACGCAAAAGAUUCUUCAAAAUCAAACUGUGUCCGGAAUUGGUGGGUUCUUGGUCUCACUGACUUCAAGAAUGAAGCCACGGACCCUGGCGGUGAGUGUUACAGCUCUUAAGGUGGCGUUUCUGGAGUCUGUCCCUUCUGAUGUUCAGAUGUGUUCGGAGUUUCUUCCUUCUGGUGGGUUCGUGGUCUCGCUGGCUCAGGAGUGAAGCUGCAGAUCUUCACGGUUGCUAGUAACACAAUAAUAAAGCUGCUUUAUUUUCCAGUGAAGAUGUAUGUGAUAGGGAGUGGAGGAAGAAAAAGGCCAGAAAAUUCCAUAGUUAGCAAAUAUACCUUUCUUACUUAAAAUUCUUUUUCCAAUGUGAGCCUUCUAAAGAGUUACUGAGAAAUUAGGUGAGCUCACCUCAUUUAAUGCAAUAGAUAUGUUUCUGAAAAAUAAGCAAUACAUAGGACAUUGGCCAAUUAAGAAUUCUGAUGAAGAAGAAUUUUCACAUCCGAAAGAGUAAAAAUGAAAAACGGUACAAAUGUAGUGGCUUUUAAAUUUCAAAACAAAUUAUUUUGAUAAGAUAAAUAUUCCUCUCAUAAAGUGAAAAUGGAAGAGACUGCUUGCUGGGUGUUCGUCAAAAUGGAGUUAGAUGGUCUGUCCCAGACUCCCCUGUUGUUAGUUCUGAGAACAGAAGUAAUGGUGCUUCUUCAGGACUGGCUCAUAGAAACCUGCCGUGUUCAGCCCCCACAAUCCUCUCCCUUCUGCUGGCUGGAAACAAAUGACAACGAAGCCUCACGUCUUGGAGAAACCACACUGCUGAGGAACUCAAGUCCUAGAAGAACCAUUUGAAGAGACCCAUCUCACUAAAGAAAAUCACACAAGCAAGAAGUAAACUUCAUUGUAUCUAUGUAUUUAAUUGUCAUAACAGUCUACCUUAACUGAUACAGCAAAAAUUCGCUCCUUUUCUGGACACCCAGUUUCAAAAUCUCAGUGUCAUUUUUUACUUCUCUCUUUUCAGGUUGUUUAAUAUAAUAAAAUUUGUGUGUGUGUGUGUGUGUGUGUGACAAGGUCUUGCUCUGUUGCCCAGGCUGGAGUGCAAUGGCACGCUCCCAGCCCACUACAGCCUUGACCUCCAAGCUCAAGUGUUCCUCCCACCUCAGCCUCCAGAGUAACUGGGACUACAGGCAUGGGCCACCACACCCGGCUAAUUUUUGUACUUUUUGUAGAGACAGGGUUUCACCAUGUUGCCCAGGCUGGUCUUGAACCCCUGGGCUCAAGCGAUCUGCCCAUCUCCACCUCCCAAAAUUCUAGGAUUACAGGCGUGAGCCACUACACCCAACCAUUUUAUUUUUAAAAGUUUUCUUUGCAAUAUUGCUCACAUUGUUUCCUUCCUUUUUAUUCUUAUUGUCACUCCCAAGUUCAGGCUUUUACCUCUUUUAUUUGAAGUAUUAAAGUAUACUUCUAAGUCAUUUCUGUGGCUUAAAUUUAUUUAAUCCACUCCAUCCUGCAUCCUACCAACACAAUAACAUUGUUUCAUCAUUUCAAAUUGAAAUCGAAACUCUCCAAAGCUUUCCUACUGCUGAAUGGAUAAAAACACAAAAUCCUCAAUAGAGAAUUCACUUUCUGGAGCCAACUUACCUUUCCAAAUAUUUCCCAUUAUUCCCUAAGAGAAUCCUCCUGACAUACUCACUGUUUUUCAUAUACACUAGACCUUUUCUCAACCACCUAUUUGUCCACACAUUUUUCUUCCAGCUAGAAUAUUAUUUUCCCUUUCUCACUUCUGAAAGUCUUACCUGUCAUUCAUGGUUCAUCUCAAGCUCAAUCUUCUCCUUGAAACCUUUAAGCAUACCCUCCUGGAAAGUUAUCUCCCUCACCUCGAACCACCCCCCCAGCCCCUGCCAGAAUCUCCUAUAGGGCUGAUUGUUUAUCCUGCUUAUUAUAUAUUUAUAAAACACUCCACUGAGUUAUUAAUUACCUUUUCCUUGACUGUGAAAACAUGACUCUGGCUUCAAGGUAGGACCAUUUUUUCUCUAACACUGUGUCUCAUACACUUCAGCACAAGCUCUUAGUGGCCUGUGCAUUCAACUCCCAUGCAUAGCCACUUCCUCCAGGCAAACCCCACAGCCAGCAUCCAAAUUUUAAAAGGGGUUCUGUCAUCAACCCAAAGUUUCUUCUCUCUCAAGGAACCUAGAUUUAGAAGUUGAGUCUAGGCCACCUGUCUAAGAUACAGUAGUUAAUUUAACAUAUUUUAUUGCUCUCAACAUCACAGAGAAAGAGCCUUACUGCAGAUCUCAUUCUUUCCUUCAAAGCCAGUUUGCCCAUUCCUCUUCAGAAACCUUUAAGAGUGGUUAUUGGGAGAGAUGAUAAGACUCCAUCUGCUUAAGGAGUCCCUCUAACCCAGAAUAGUAGAUGUAAACACCUGACAUGUUGUUAUAGAGUGAAUGUUUGUGUUCCCCUCCAAUCCAUAUGUUGAAAUUCCAAGCCCCAAUGUGUUCGCAUUGGGAGGUGAGGCCUUUGGGAGGUAAAUAGAUCAUGAAGGUGAAGUCUUCAUGAAUGGAUUAGUGUCCUUAUAAAAGAGACCCCAGAGAGCUCUCUCAUCCUGUUUCUGCCAUGUGAGGACACAGCAAGAAGUUGGUCAUCUGCAACCUGAAGUGGCUCCUCCCCAGAAACUGAAUCUGCUGGGGUCUUAAUGGUGGGCUUCCCAGCCUCCAGAAUUAUGAGUGUAAAUGUUUGUUGUUUAAGCUACCCAGUCUAGGGUAGUUUGCUAUACUACCCCAAACUGACUAAGAUACAUAUGUUUGUCAUCCACUCAGUUGUUUUCCUAAAAUAAAUGAAGUCAGCUCCAAAGAUGAAUUUUCAUCUCUUUUUGUAGAGAUGGGUGCUAUUAUGCUUUUUAAUGAACGUUUAUUCACAAAUAAAAACAAAACAUACCUCUCACAUCCUCAGAGCAAAUACUUACAGUAACAUACAUUGAUGCUCACAAGCUCAUUACAUUUCAUGUUUACUAUUCAUUGAUAACAUUACAUUUAUUAUUAUCACAUAAACCAUACCUCCUGUUUAUGAAGCACUUAUGGUGUUUUAGUCAAUGUUAUGGUACCUGCUAUAUAUGGUCUCUAAUUUUAUUUUAACUUCCUAUAGUAAACAAUAUUAGGUGCUAACUCAAUAGUCAUUUUCUAACCUGAUUUUUCCUUGCAAACAGAACCCCAAAUUUGUUUGGAGAGAAAUGUGUCCAAAUCCAAACAAAGCAUCACCAUUUCUUUGAACCAUCAUAAGGAUCUAAUCAUUUUUUUUGUUUUCCUAGCCUCCCUCUAGCCAGAGAUACUGGGUAACACAGUUCUGGCUGAGAAGACAAGAGAAGAAAUCUGCUAAGCAUUUCUGGAAAAAGUUUUGAUUUGCUGAUGAAAGGGAACAGACAUACUGGUUGCCUUCCUUUUCCCUUUCAGCUGCCUAGUCGCCAUUUUGCAAUGUGAAACAACAUCAUUAAGGAAAGAUCAAAACAAUUGCAGAGAUGUCAACCAUCAUGCCUUUGAAUUCAUGCUCACAGUUGUCUGCCUCCAGAUUCAGUUAUAUUUGAGGUACUCUUUGAGUUAAGAUCCUUCUCAUUUUAUACCACUUGCAGCUGAACACACUCCCCACUAAUUUACCUUGUAAGGUGAAUUUCACUUAAAGGAAGAACACAUAAGUCAGGGAAUGACACAUAAUAGUAAAUGCAGGGUUUUUUUUUCUAUUUAUGAUAUAGAUUUAUACAACUGCUAUGUUCUUGACAUUGUACCAAUUUCAAGGUACAAAUAAGACAUAAUCCCUAAAAGCAUGGGUUACAAAAUCUGGGUUCAGCAUAGGGUUUCAUGAUAAACAAACAAACACAAAUUGUUUUUUAUUGUAUUUCCUUCUUCUUCACAUCUUGUGAAUCUAAGAAAAAUAUCAGAAUGUUCGUUUCAGCUCAAUUUUUGAAGAGUACAAUCUCUAAGUAAAAAGAAACUGUAAAUGUUUAUAAAUGUAACUAGAGCCUAGUAGAAAAUAAAGCCAUGCAAGUGUGUUUAGGUCCUAAUCUUAUUAACCAGAUUAGUGACACACAGUCUGCCCAAAGUUAAUGAAAGCAGUGAGGUUCUUUGACUUCAGUAGAUACACACCUGAACCACAGAGAUAAACUUGCUUCAAACCUGUGCGAUAUGUUUUUCUAAGCAUAAAAUUGAGCAUGAUAGCUCCAAUUUCAGUCUCAGUUUCAAAGCUUCCCUUUCCCGAAUAAGAGGCAAACUGUCACAUUAAAUUUAGCGAAUUAAAAUCAGUUAACUUGAAAAGCUCUUGGCCCCAAUGCAGAGAAAAUUGUUUGCAUAAUAAUAACUUAUUUCCUUUUUUAAAAGGCGGACUUCUGCCUGAAUGCUUCUAUAAACUUUUAAGAAAAUGGGAUUCUCAAAUCUCAAGCGUAUUGGGUUGCAGUUGGCACUUGAAGCUGGGGACAUGCAGAGCUGGCUAAUGUCAGCAGCUGUAGGACUGUCAAGAAAAAUAGGUGGAAGGGACACUUUUAUUAUAAGUAGACUUGCAAGGCAUUCCAACUUUCAGCUGCUCAACCCAGUAUACCAAACACCUCUGACUACCUCAAGUGUGGCCUUGCUGAGUGCUUCCAUAUUUAGGGGUUAUUAGACAGGACUGAAGCAAGUGACCUCUAAUGAGGAAGCAAUCAGGGCAGGCUCUGACCCUCCUCAGAGGUACUGUAAUGAACUGGCCUUGGAAGGUCUUUGAUGCUGCCUUUGCAUACUGUAUAUGAGCUUUCUGCUCAGUCAUUUCCUCUGCGCUCUGGUAGCACAGCAUGAAGCCUGCUAUUAGAAAAAAGGUUUAUUGCUACCUUGCAAACAUUUAUUGGGUAAUAUCUAAAACAUGGUGUCAAGUUAUAGUAAUGCGCUGUUCUGGGAAACUUUUUGAGAAUUUUAGUGUUUCAGAAGAUGGUCCUUUGAGAAUUCUUCUGUUUCAGAAAUGAAAAGUGGUAGAUAUAUACGUGUGUGUGUAUAAUAUGCUCAUGUAUCCUCUGAUUACUUGCCAGAGAUGUACCAUUUUUCUUUCAAGGGAAACAUCUAUUCCUAAGAUAGAUUAUUCUUGAAAUUUUCAAAGAGUAUGCCUCAGAGAACAAAUAUACAAAUUUACCAUUUGUCUGCAGAUAUUAUUUGCCUGUGUUUAUGCUAGGUCACUGACACCACACACAUUUUAAUCCCCAAGGGAAUUUAUUUGGUGGUGUUAUCUACUCAACCAAGCUGAAGCUUAUCUAGUUCACAAGAAAAUAGUCAAUAUGAGCUCCAUGCAGACUUAUGCUGUUAAUGCAGAAGAGGGAAAGAGAAUUUACCUUUAACUGUUAUGAUGAAAAUGUGUACAAUGACACUUAACUAUGGCAUGCAAAUCCUCUUUUCCUCCCCCACAGGUAUCUGGAAAGUACCUUAUACAGCUAGGUGCUUAGAAAAUGUUUAUUGAUUAAAUAGAUGAUGAUUAACAGAUUAAUAAAAGGUGAAAGUUACUAUCUAUGCAUUUUUUUCCAGUUUGAUGUUCAAAAACUUACCAAUGGAUGGGGAGUUGCUUUUCAUAAACAAUUUAUAAAGCACUGUCCUGGAUGAAAUUGUAAAAAGGACGUGGUGUCAAAGAUGACUCAGUGGAGUUGAGGUGAAAAAUGUGUAAUGAGCAAAUCAUGGUAAUUGGGAUAUCCAUCACCUCAAACCCUUAUCAUGUCUUUGUGUUGAGGACAUUUCAAAUCUUCCCUUCCAGCUAUUUUGAAAUAUACAACAAAUUAUUGUUAAGUGUAGCCACCCUAGUGUGCUACUGUACACUAGGACUUACUUAUUCCUUCUAUCUAACUGUAUUUUUGAACCCAUGAACCAACAUCUCUUUGAUUUCCAGCCUGGGCUUUGGUGUCCCUUUUUUUGUGUGUUUUCAUAGGGCCCUAUAUUUAUAUUAUUUGGGCUCAACACAUUGCAAAACUGCAGAGGAGUUUACUAUUAUGCACAUUAUUAUUCUAUAUUCUGUCACUCUAAGAAACAAUAAGUGACCAUCUGAAGAGACCAUCUUCUAGCACCAAAAUAUUUAAAGAUGAUUAAGAAUAAGACAAGGGUCUCCUUAUUUACAAAAUGACAUAAUUGAAAGGACUAGAUUAUUAGCAACCCCUCUGGAAAAGGAUUACUCUUUUGGAUUUUAAUUACAUAACUAAUAUAUCAACUGAAGUGCUAUGCCCUGACGUGUGCUCCCCUCAGCUUCACGAUCCAUAUGUUGAAACCCAACCCCUUAAUGUGAUGGCAUUUGGAGAUGGGGCUUUGGAGAUAUUAGUUAGGUUUAGAUAAGGUCAUGAGAAUGGGGCUCUUAUGAUGAGAUGAGCACCUUCAUAAAAAGAGACACGAGGUAUUUCUCUUUUCUCUCUUCUCUCUCUCCCUCUUUCCCUCCCUCCCUCUCUCCUCCUUCUCUGUCUUCCUCCUUUAUGUGAGGACAUAGCCAGAAGGCAGCUGUGUCUGCAAGCCAGGAAGAAAGCCCUCACCAGGAAUCAACUAUAUCAGCACCUUGAUCUUGAACUUCUAUCCUUAGAACAGAGAGAAAAUGAAUUUCUAUUCUUGAAGCCACCCAGCCUACGGUAUUUUGUUAUGGCAGUCAAGCUGAAUAAGAUAUAUAUCUACACUGAGACCAUUAAAAGUAGUUCCUGAUUGGCAGAAAGGUUGUAUAUAUAAAUGGCUCAUUGAAAGUUCUCACUGCAUGGAUGAGAAAUCUCAGAUUGAGGUUCUUAAAUUUUGAAAAAUAGAAAUAAAGGAAUUAACGCAACAGUCUUCUAAUCUUUCUGCCUUCAGUUUUUGCUCCCUUUGACUAUUCUCUGUACACUGCAUCCAGAGGUUAUAUUUUGACAGGGAAAUUCAAAUGAUGUAUAUUAUUUUUCUACUCAAAAUCUCCCCACUGGCACCCUAUUGUCCUAAAGCAUAAACUGCUAUUGCAGUCAAUUCACCUGAAAUAAGCUCUCUUCCUGCCGCGUCUUUUACAUAGAUUGUUUACUCCUCUUGUGAUCCCAGUUCCCUGCUUCUCCCUCUCCUCCACACUUUUCAAUAAUUAAAUUAUACUCAGCGUUCAGAAUUCAGUCAGGAUAUCCUACCUUCUUUGGUCAGCCCCCCAGGGUUUUCUGAAAGCUGGGAAGAGGCCCUCUUCUGCAAUCCCCAUGCACUGUAGACACAUCCCCUUUAGGUCCCUAUGUUGUGAGUGACUGUUUUCUUGUCUGUCUCUGCCACUAUAUUAUGCACUCUUAGAAGGCAAGGACUACUUCUCUUCAUUGUAUACCUAGAACUUAACCCAAAAACUGGCAUGUGCAUGCACCCAAGUUUUCACUGAGAAAAUAAUUGCAUGAGUCACUUGCUUUCCAGGUCUUUCUGACUACUAUGAUGGUGAUGACUUGUAGUCACAACAUGAAAUUGGUUUCUGCCCCUGAGGAUUGUAUCUCUCUACUUUGCAUGACCCCUAGAUUUCAAUCCCUCUUUAUUCUCUCCUGAUCCUUGGGUUCCAGUAAUUCUCUGGGUUUCAAAUAUAAGCACAGUGUGAGGAGCUCUUCAUUCUUGACAGAACUUUCAGGCAAGAAAGAAAUAGAUUCCUGGGAAUAUCUAUAUUCCCUCUGGCCCUAUUCCUUACUCCCAAAACAUAAUAACCCUUUUCUUAGGUUUUUUCUCUCUACCUUUUUACUUCUUCCUUAUUCUCACGAUUACAUGAAUUAACUGCCUACAGAGUAUGAAUUCAGACUGAAUUAAUAUGUAUUUAUGUGACAUAAAAGAUCUCUUUCAGUACUUCUUAAUCUUACCAAAUGAUGCAUACUAUACAAUAAAAAAUUGCAAUUUUUUCAUUAGCUUUUUUUUUUUUUUUUGGUUUCUGGUAGGGUUUUCCUUUAGUGGUAUUUUAGCAAGUAAUACAAUCCAGUUAUUUUUAAAAGUAUAUUAGUAGAAACUCACCAGAAGUCAAUAUACUGGUCCAAGAAUAAUUAACUGAUUGACUUUAUUGUUUAUGAAACUUUGUAAUGUUCCUUUUGAUGUGAAUGCUUAUCUUAGGGGGAAAUGCACUUUUCAAAUAUAAAUGAUCAUGUUUAAACAAACUGCUUCUAGUUUCAAAUAUGGCACUGAAAAACAAAAUAAAAUAAACACUCAAUUUUUAUUUAAAAUGGUGGGCAAUUUACUUUCUUUUUUGUUUGGGAUCUGAUUCAAGAGCCUCAAUUCAGCUUAUUGCAGAACUAACUAAACUAAACCUCAAAGGAAAAAUUUUAAAAAUGAUUUUUAUAGCAAUGACAUCAUUAUAUAAAAUGUUGGCAUUUCAUAUUUUCCAAACAGAAACUUGGAAAUAACAGAAUACAAGUUAAAUAAAACAAAUUGAAACUAAUCCAAUUCUCUGUUUUUCUUUCCCUUUUUAAAAACCAAGCUUUUUAUUGCCAGCUUUUACUUUGCAUAAUAAUAUAUGAUGAAUUGUCCAAGAAAGACCCAGUGGGUACAUUUCUCUUAGAAAUAAGCCUCUCUAUGCAAUAGGAGGCCAAGUUCUAGGGCAACAUACUUAUAUAAUCAUGUAAGAUUUUCCUUAUUGCUAACAAUUGACCAACCUGGGCAUUUGUCAAAUAUGUAAACACAUGGAGGUCACUGGUCACCAGAGGAUUGAAAACACAAAUCACUCUAUUCAUAUCCAUCCCUAGUUCUAGAAAAACAAUACCAAAUUAAAGCAUAUAUCCUACUAGCAAUAGGACUAGCAAAAUUAUUUUGGUAUACCAGAGCUACAUGUUAUACAUUUUGCUACUUAUGGAUUUAAUUACUCAGGAUAAUUAUACACAUGGCUACAACUGUAAACUUUAUAAUAUUUUGCUGGCAUACCUUCCAAAAGAGUUUGAAAAGCUAUGAAUUUAAUUCUAUAUUUGCAUUUGACAUAUAAAGUAC
rnacentral:lncRNA from 1 species